rnacentral:rRNA from 1 species
AGUAAUGUCUGGGAAACUGCCUGAUGGAGGGGGAUAACUACUGGAAACGGUAGCUAAUACCGCAUAACGUCUACGGACCAAAGUGGGGGACCUUCGGGCCUCACGCCAUCAGAUGUGCCCAGAUGGGAUUAGCUAGUAGGUGGGGUAAUGGCUCACCUAGGCGACGAUCCCUAGCUGGUCUGAGAGGAUGACCAGCCACACUGGAACUGAGACACGGUCCAGACUCCUACGGGAGGCAGCAGUGGGGAAUAUUGCACAAUGGGCGCAAGCCUGAUGCAGCCAUGCCGCGUGUGUGAAGAAGGCCUUAGGGUUGUAAAGCACUUUCAGCGAGGAGGAAGGGUUCAGUGUUAAUAGCACUGUUCAUUGACGUUACUCGCAGAAGAAGCACCGGCUAACUCCGUGCCAGCAGCCGCGGUAAUACGGAGGGUGCAAGCGUUAAUCGGAAUUACUGGGCGUAAAGCGCACGCAGGCGGUUUGUUAAGUCAGAUGUGAAAUCCCCGCGCUUAACGUGGGAACUGCAUUUGAAACUGGCAAGCUAGAGUCUUGUAGAGGGGGGUAGAAUUCCAGGUGUAGCGGUGAAAUGCGUAGAGAUCUGG